UACGUAGGCAGCAAGCGUUGUUCGGAGUUACUGGGCGUAAAGGGUGCGUAGGCGGCUGUUUAAGUUUGGUGUGAAAUCUCCCGGCUCAACUGGGAGGGUGCGCCGAAUACUGAGUGGCUAGAGUGUGGGAGAGGAAAGUGGAAUUCCUGGUGUAGCGGUGAAAUGCGCAGAUAUCAGGAGGAACACCGGUGGCGAAGGCGGAUCUCUGGGCCUUACCUGACGCUCAGGUGCGAAAGCUAGGGGAGCGAACAGG
rnacentral:rRNA from 1 species